CUGCAGCAGUCGAGAAUUUUUCACAAUGGGGGAAACCCUGAUGGAGCGACGCCGCGUGGAGGAUGAAGGCCCUCGGGUCGUAAACUCCUGUCAUGCGGGAACAAGAAAGUGAUAGUACCGCAAGAGGAAGAGACGGCUAACUCUGUGCCAGCAGCCGCGGUAAUACAGAGGUCUCAAGCGUUAUUCGGAUUCAUUGGGCGUAAAGGGUGCGUAGGUGGCGAUGUAAGUCUGGUGUGAAAUCUCGGGGCUUAACCCCGAAACUGCAUUGGAUACUGCGUUGCUUGAGGAUUGUAGAGGAGAGUGGAAUUCACGGUGUAGCAGUGAAAUGCGUAGAUAUCGUGAGGAAGACCAGUUGCGAAGGCGACUCUCUGGGCAAUUCCUGACACUGAGGCACGAAGGCCAGGGGAGCAAACGGGAUUAGAUACCCGCGUAGU
rnacentral:rRNA from 1 species